GGUUAAAACUCAAAUGAAUUGACGGGGGCCCGCACAAGCGGUGGAGCAUGUGGUUUAAUUCGAUGCAACGCGAAGAACCUUACCUGGUCUUGACAUCCACAGAACUUUCCAGAGAUGGAUUGGUGCCUUCGGGAACUGUGAGACAGGUGCUGCAUGGCUGUCGUCAGCUCGUGUUGUGAAAUGUUGGGUUAAGUCCCGCAACGAGCGCAACCCUUAUCCUUUGUUGCCAGCGGUCCGGCCGGGAACUCAAAGGAGACUGCCAGUGAUAAACUGGAGGAAGGUGGGGAUGACGUCAAGUCAUCAUGGCCCUUACGACCAGGGCUACACACGUGCUACAAUGGCAUAUACAAAGAGAAGCGACCUCGCGAGAGCAAGCGGACCUCAUAAAGUAUGUCGUAGUCCGGAUUGGAGUCUGCAACUCGACUCCAUGAAGUCGGAAUCGCUAGUAAUCGUAGAUCAGAAUGCUACGGUGAAUACGUUCCCGGGCCUUGUACACACCGCCCGUCACACCAUGGGAGUGGGUUGCAAAAGAAGUAGGUAGCUUAACCUUCGGGAGGGCGCUUACCACUUUGUGAUUCAUGACUGGGGUGAAGUCGUAACAAGGUAACCGUAGGGGAACCUGCGGUUGGAUCACCUCCUUACCUUAAAGAA
rnacentral:rRNA from 1 species